GACGAACGCUGGCAGCGUGCUUAACACAUGCAAGUCGAACGGUAAGGCCCUUCGGGGUACACGAGUGGCGAACGGGUGAGUAACACGUGGGUGAUCUGCCCUGCACUUCGGGAUAAGCCUGGGAAACUGGGUCUAAUACCGGGUAGGACCACUGCCUGCAUGGGUGGUGGUGGAAAGCUUUUGCGGUGUGGGAUGGGCCCGCGGCCUAUCAGCUUGUUGGUGGGGUGAUGGCCUACCAAGGCGACGACGGGUAGCCGGCCUGGGAGGGUGACCGGCCACACUGGGACUGGGAUACGGCCCAGACUCCUACGGGAGGCAGCAGUGGGGAAUAUUGCACAAUGGGCGCAAGCCUGAUGCAGCGACGCCGCGUGAGGGAUGACGGCCUUCGGGUUGUAAACCUCUUUCAGCACCGACGAAGCGCAAGUGACGGUAGGUGCAGAAGAAGGACCGGCCAACUACGUGCCAGCAGCCGCCGUAA
rnacentral:rRNA from 1 species